CGCGCCGCCAUGCCGCGAAGCGGGGCGCUGGGGAGCGCUUCGGCACUGCCUCUGGCGGUUGGUUUGUGGAUGGGGGCAGG
rnacentral:pre_miRNA from 1 species